rnacentral:rRNA from 1 species
UACGUAGGGUGCAAGCGUUAAUCGGAAUUACUGGGCGUAAAGCGUGCGCAGGCGGUUAUGUAAGACAGAUGUGAAAUCCCCGGGCUUAACCUGGGAACUGCAUUUGUGACUGCAUGGCUAGAGUGCGGCAGAGGGGGAUGGAAUUCCGCGUGUAGCAGUGAAAUGCGUAGAUAUGCGGAGGAACACCGAUGGCGAAGGCAAUCCCCUGGGCCUGCACUGACGCUCAUGCACGAAAGCGUGGGGAGCAAACAGGAUUAGAA